rnacentral:rRNA from 1 species
GACGAACGCUGGCGGCGUGCUUAACACAUGCAAGUCGAACGAAGUGGCGAACGGGUGAGUAACGCGUAAUCAACCUGCCCUUCAGCGGGGGACAACAGUUGGAAACGACUGCUAAUACCGCAUACUGAAGGAGGGGAUUGCGUCUGAUUAGCUAGUUGGAGGGGUAACGGCCCCCAAAGGCGAGGAACAGUAGCCGGUAUGAGAGGACUGACAGCCACAUUGGGACUGAGACAAGGGCGAGACUCCUACGGGAGGCAGCAGUGGGGAAACUGCCGCAAUGGACGAAAGUCUGAAGGAGCAACGCCGGCGGAGUGAUGACGGCGUUCGGGGUGUAAAGCUCUGUUAAUCGGGACGCGGUACCGGAAGAGAAAGCCACGGCUAACUACGUGCCAGCAGCCGCGGUAAUAC